rnacentral:rRNA from 1 species
CUUUCCCUCCAGCGUGGAGCCUGAGUAGGGCGGCACACGUGAAAUUCCGUUGGAAUCCGGGGGGAUGCUCGCACAAGGCGUAAUACUCCCUAGUGACCGCUAGUGAACCAGUACCGUGAGGGAAAGGGGAAAACCUCUCCGGAAGGGCAGUUACACAGUUCAUGAAACCGGGUGCCUACAAGUAGUUAGAGCCCGUUAAUGGGUGAUAGCGUGCCUUUUGUAGAAUGAACCGGCGAGUUACGAUUUGUUGCAAGG